GGAUGCUGACGAGCGGCGGACGGGUGAGUAAUGCAUAGGAAUCUGCCCGAUAGUGGGGGAUAACCUGGGGAAACCCAGGCUAAUACCGCACACGUCCUACGGGAGAAAGGGGGCUUUGGCUCCCGCUAUCGGAUGAGCCUAUGUCGGAUUAGCUAGUUGGUGAGGUAAAGGCUCACCAAGGCAACGAUCCGUAGCUGGUCUGAGAGGAUGAUCAGCCACAUCGGGACUGAGACACGGCCCGAACUCCUACGGGAGGCAGCAGUGGGGAAUAUUGGACAAUGGGGGCAACCCUGAUCCAGCCAUGCCGCGUGUGUGAAGAAGGCCCUCGGGUUGUAAAGCACUUUCAGCGAGGAAGAACGCCCAGCGGUUAAUACCCGCUAGGAAAGACAUCACUCGCAGAAGAAGCACCGGCUAACUCCGUGCCAGCAGCCGCGGUAAUACGGAGGGUGCAAGCGUUAAUCGGAAUUACUGGGCGUAAAGCGCGCGUAGGUGGCUUGAUAAGCCGGUUGUGAAAGCCCCGGGCUCAACCUGGGAACGGCAUCCGGAACUGUCAAGCUAGAGUGCAGGAAAGGAAGGUAGAAUUCCCGGUGUAGCGGUGAAAUGCGUAGAGAUCGGGAGGAAUACCAGUGGCGAAGGCGGCCUUCUGGACUGACACUGACACUGAGGUGCGAAAGCGUGGGUAGCAAACAGGAUUAGAUACCCUGGUAGUCCACGCCGUAGACGAUGUCGACCAGCCGUUGGGUGCCUAGCGCACUUUGUGGCGAAGUUAACGCGAUAAGUCGACCGCCUGGGGAGUACGGCCGCAAGGUUAAAACUCAGAUGAAUUGACGGGGGCCCGCACAAGCAGUG
rnacentral:rRNA from 1 species